UAUUGAUAUAUAUAUGAAAUCCCACAUGGAUUAAAUUUACUUUGUUUUGAGUAUUAUCUUUAAAUGGUCUGUAGAUAGUACUUCAGAAGCAUCAAAUUUCAAAGUUGAUAAAUGCUUUUUUCAGCAUGUAAUAUUUUUGUUUUCAACUCUGUUGGCAUCGACUUGACUUAGACAUAGAAAAGGAAGUUGGUAAUUAUUAAAAAUUCGAAGCUUAAGUUUCAAAGACUGAACUCUUAGGG
rnacentral:lncRNA from 1 species